GAGCCCAUAGCUCAGUUGGCAGAGCAUCUGACUUUUAAUCAGAGGGUCGUUGGUUCGAUCCCAACUGGGCUCACCA
rnacentral:tRNA from 5 species